GACGAACGCUGGCGGCGUGCUUAACACAUGCAAGUCGAACGGUGAAGCCCUGUCUUUGUGGGGUGCUCGAGUGGCGAACGGAUGAGUAACGUGAGACUAACCUACCCUUGACUUUGGGAUUGCUUCACCAAACUGGGGCGAAUCUCGUACAGGAGCUCCUGCUGCUUUGUGGGGGUUGGACAGGUUCGGCGGUUGGGGAUGGACUCGCGGCUGUUCAGCGUGUUCGGGGGGUAGUGGCUUACCCAGGCUUUGACGGGUAGCCGGGCUGAGAGGGUGACCGGCACGAUUGGGACUGAGAUGCGGGCCAGACGCCUACGGGAGUGAGCAGUGGGGGAAAGUGUACUAUGGGCGGAAGCCUUAUGCAGCAACGCCGCGUGCGGGAUGACGGCCUUCGGCUUGUAAAGCGCUUUCGCCUGUGUCGAAGCGUGAGUGACGGUAAUGGGUUAAGAAGCGCCGGCUAACUACGUG
rnacentral:rRNA from 1 species